rnacentral:rRNA from 1 species
UACGGAGGAUGCAAGCGUUAUCCGGAAUGAUUGGGCGUAAAGCGUCCGCAGGUGGCUGUGUAAGUCUGCUGUCAAAGAGCAAAGCUCAACUUUGUAAAUGCAGUGGAAACUACACGGCUAGAGUGCGUUCGGGGCAGAGGGAAUUCCUGGUGUAGCGGUGAAAUGCGUAGAGAUCAGGAAGAACACCGGUGGCGAAGGCGCUCUGCUAGGCCGCAACUGACACUGAGGGACGAAAGCUAGGGGAGCGAAUGGG